rnacentral:lncRNA from 10 species
UAUGGACUUCUGGGUUGUGACGUCCUGCUGGCUGGUCAGGGACCUGAAAAGAGCAAGAGGGGAAGAUGGACCUACAGGAGUGGCCACACAAUAUGUGCAUCUCUCUGCCUUGUGUUAAUACUGCAGAGGAGUUGGUGAACAGCAGGAUGGAUGGGAUGUCAGUCAGCUGUGCCCCUGGCUACCCCUGUGCUUGAACAGUGGACUGUGAGUGGCGGCGUCAUGCAGAAGGAGCACAGGGUCCCAGGCCAGCAUCACUAUCCAGGAGCUUCAGGCAUGCUCCGUGUACCAACAUGGGAUCACGAAUCACAUCGCCUCAGGCCAAGAAAGCCAUUUUAUAGCGAAAGAGCCUUAGGAUCUGCUGGAUUAGAGCCUGUUUCCCAGGUAGGAACGCUUCCACGAGGGCACUCCUGCUGGUUGCAGGAAGGAUACCUCUGCUGAGCCUGAAUCUGCAAAGACCACCAGGUUACUCUCAGCUCCUCAUACUGGUGGACCAGCAGGCCACAAAGGAGGGGAUACUUGAUCCUGAUAAACGGUGA